GCCAGUGUGGUGUAGUGGUUUCAGUACUGGAUUACAACUCUGGAGACAAGAGUUCAAAUCCCUUCUUGGCCA